rnacentral:rRNA from 1 species
GAUGAACGCUAGCGGCAGGCCUAACACAUGCAAGUCGAGGGGGAGGUUACUUUCGGGUAACUGAGGCCGGCGUACGGGUGCGUAACGCGUAUACAAUCUGCCUUUCACUGGGGGAUAGCCCGAAGAAAUUUGGAUUAAUACCCCAUAGUAUAGUAAUACGGCAUCGUGAUGCUAUUAAAGCUUAGGUGGUGAAAGAUGAGUAUGCGUUCUAUUAGCUAGUUGGAGAGGUAACGGCUCCCCAAGGCGAUGAUAGAUAGGGGUUCUGAGAGGGAUGUCCCCCACACUGGUACUGAGAUACGGACCAGACUCCUACGGGAGGCAGCAGUGAGGAAUAUUGGACAAUGGUCGGAAGACUGAUCCAGCCAUGCCGCGUGCAGGAUGAAGGUCUUAUGGAUUGUAAACUGCUUUUGUAAGGGAAGAAUAAGGGCUACGCGUAGUUUGAUGACGGUACCUUACGAAUAAGCAUCGGCUAACUCCGUG